rnacentral:rRNA from 1 species
ACUGGGCUUUUCCUGACGCUGAGGCGCGAAAGCGUGGGUAGCAAACAGAAUUAGAUACUCUGGUAGUCCACGCCCUAAACGAUGGAUGCUAGGCGUAAGGGGUAUCGACCCCCUUUGUGCCGUAGCUAACGCAUUAAGCAUCCCGCCUGGGGAGUACGGCCGCAAGGUUGAAACUCAAAUGAAUUGACGGGACCCCGCACAAGCGGUGGAGCAUGUGGAUUAAUUCGAUACUAACCGAAGAACCUUACCUGGGUUUGACAUCGCGGGUAAUCCUAUGAAAGUAGGACCCUGACUCACAAGGUCGGCCCAAAGACACCUGUUGCAUGGCUGUCGUCAGCUCGUGCCGUGAGGUGUUUGGUUAAGUCCAGCAACGAGCGCAACCCUCGUCUUAUGUUGCCAGCGGGUAAUGCCGGGAACUCAUGAGAGACUGCCUGUGUAAGCAGGAGGAAGGUGAGGAUGACGUCAAGUCGGCAUGGCGGUUACACCCAGGGCUUCACACAUGCUACAAUGGGCGCAACAAAGGGCAGCAAUACCGCGAGGUGGAGCUAAUCCCAAAAAUACGUCCUCAGUUCAGAUUGUAGUCUGCAACUCGACUACAUGAAGGCGGAAUCGCUAGUAAACGCAGGUCAGCUAUACUGCGUUGAAUACGUUCCCGGGGUUUGUACACACUGCCCGACAAGUGAUCCGAGUCGUUUCUACCCGAAGUCCGUGGCCCAACCGUAAGGAGGGAGCGGCCGAAGGUGGAGGGGGUAAGGAGCACUAAGUCGUAACAAGGUAACC